GGCAGCCGGACCGCGGCCGCCGGGAGAGCGCGGCCCGGGGGCGCACGGAGCCGUCGGAUAGCGGAGAGCGAGGAGCCGCCCCAGCCCCGGCCCGGGUGCCGCUCCCCGCCCGGCCCCUGCCCCGGGCAGCCCGCCAGAUGCUGCUGCCUGCCAUGAUGCUCUGUGUGAUUUGUGCCAUGCCCCAAGGACAAAGGGGAGAGAUCCUUGUUUUGGACAGGUCCUGCAGUGCCUCCUCCACCAGUCUCCCUCCACAGAAACCCAGCUGGGCCUUAACCAUGGCAGUUCCUGACCAAAGCCCUUAGUAACUGCUACGAUAUAAAGCAAUUUUUUUCUCUAGCUCUUCUAACUUAUCCACCAGGCUGAUCUAGUCCUUAUCUGCCUUGGUAUUAGCCAGGGGGAAAACUGGUAAUUUUUGUCCUGUAGUAGGUGUUGCAUGUGGACAGUGUCCAAGGAAGUCUUGCCAAAUGUCAUUGUCCUCCCACAGGAGCCCUGGGUGUUUAGUUUUUCUGCAUAUUAAAUGUUUGGGGAAGAGUGACUUAGCUUUUGCUUUUUGAAAAAAUAAUGUUGAAAAUACCACCUUCAUUAGUCAUUUUUACCAUGCAAGUGGCUUUUCCUGGAGCAGGUCCCUGUGAGAUCCAUCCUACAGAGUGUAGGGUUGCUGCCUAGGUACACCUGGCCUAGCUGGAUUCCCUCUUAGUCUGUGUUUCCCAUGAACAUGCAGUCUCAUUCUGAAAGGCAGCCUUGGAGGUGGAUUCUCUUGGGCUGGUACCUGAGCAAGGUACAUGCUUUGAAGUGCCAGUACAUGCAUCUCUGUGAUUGUGGAGGAGGCUUGUACCCAGCGAUGUUUGGGUGGGUAUUUCCUUCCUAAGUCUUCUGCACAUCUCUUUCAAGGAGGAUGUGUUCACACCCAUUUAUUUCAGUGCAAAGGUGAUCCAAAGGGCUUGGGCAGCUCACUGAAUUGGUAUAAAAACUUGGAUGAUGUGACAAUCAGGUGGCCAUGCUUGGCUUUAAAAAGAUUUCACUGACAGAGUCUGAAUGAAUUAACUCUCUGGGGUUCAAACCAGCAGGCAUUGUCAGAUACAAGGGAUUAAAAGCCUUUUUAAUGUGGCUUAGUAGUGUACAGAAGAUUGGCUUACUUGUAUGAGCUCUUCUUUUGUCACAUUGAUCUUUAUUUUGCAUUGUGCUUAGCACAACAGAAACUGGAGGCUGAAGUCUUCUUUCCUGAAUCGUCUGAAAGAACUUGGCCCUUUUAUUGCUUAGUAAAAUAUUUCAUUGUGAAGGAGGAAUUGAUUUUUGCCAGUGUAGCCACUGUUGAGUAAUAGCUGAAGAAUACCAAGUUGUAAUAAUUUCAUGAGCACUGUAUGUGGCCAGGUGGGUGAGAGGAAGUUACUAUAUGGUGGGUUGUACUUCUUUAUAUUACUUUCCUGUAUAGAUGUAUUGAUCUAACCUAAUAGGGAGCUAGCUGAUGAAGGAAUAAAAGGCAAUUCAGUGGUUCCCCUGUGUCAGCUGUAUGUGACUAAACCCAUGAGGUGGUAAUUACAGGAAUGAUAGCUCCAGUUCUGAGGGAUGCAGCUGGUUUGUCAGGCUGUAAACUAAAAAUCACAGGAGGAUAAUGUUGGCAGGGACUGAUGGAAGAAAUACUUCAAUACCAAAGCAGACUUUGCAGAAGAGGGUGGAUGAAGAUGGGCCUUCCUCUCUGCAGCAGCGUAAGUCACACAGAAGGAAAGGCAAGUUUCCAAGAAUGAUCAGCUUAUUGUUCUUAAGAUCUUUUUUGUCUUAAAUGCUUUGGUGCUGAGUAAGUGUUUUGUGGUCAGUACUUACAGCCAUUACUUCAUGAGAGAUUAAACUGCGAGGUCUGGGUCUGUCUCGGGUCUGCAGAGGUAGCCAUGGUGGAUGCACUGGGAUGCAACCUGAGAACUGGUCUGCUUGUAGCCAGAAACACAGAUCUGGAGGAACAGUUAACUAGGCACUUGAGACAGCAAAGUGCAAACACAGUCAUAAGUUUUGUUUCUUUUGUCUAUAAAUAAAUAGGUUUUAGGAUAGCGGGUGGGCUUUCACAUACAGGUUUAAUUAAUCUGGUGUUCUGGUGGUUUGUGUUUGUUCUUUUUUUAACAUGGCAUAGUCAAAACCACAGUAUCAAAGGCAGAACAAAUUCAUUAUGUAGACAUUAAUGUAAACAUCCCAGUAGUGGGAUGCUGGUCAGUUCCUGUUUCUCAACUGAAAGGUAAUACAGCAAAAGAGGUUUUUCUUUUGUUGUCCUUUUAUUCAUUAUUUAUUGCACUGUUUUCACCACUUGCUGUAUAUAAUCAAUUGCUUGUCCCCUGGUGUUACCAUGGAUAUUUAAUACAUCAAUGUGGAAAAGAGACACAUUUUUAUGAAAAAGAAAAUGCAGCUACAAAACUCCUCUUGCACUGAAUGGACAGCUGUGCCAUAUUUUAUGUGAAUACAGCCAACAAUGGCUUGUUGUUUCUUGUUCUUGCCUGCCAUCUACACACACAGACAUCCCUCCUGCACCUCAUGUGUCUCGAGGCUGGUGCCCAGGAGGUUCCAUGUAGCUCCUUGUGUCCCUUCUCCCUCCCUGGAGCAGGUGAGAAGGGCCAGAGGCAGGUUUGUAACCUUGAAGCUCAGGAGUACUCAAGGCAAGAAUGGCAGAUGCUGUUGGUUAGAGUGGUCCAGCUUAAACAGGAAUCCAAGACCCUCCCUUAGUCUCUUAUGUCUGGGUUUUUUUGAGAUCAAAGGAGAACAUGGUAUUUUGAAGAAAAUGUGCAAGGGCCCACCCUUCCUGAAUUGCACUCUUGGUUGUAUGUUCUGUCCUGCAGCUGUAAUACUCUACAGAAGGGUUUGGGUUUCUCCCCUCCCUGCCCUCUUUUAAUGUAUUGUGAGAGAAGUUUAAUAGAUGUUUUCACAGGAGUCUCUGAUCCUACACUGCUCUCAUUGUGCCUCUCUCUGUGUUCUGUGAGCAGGGCUGCUGAUCAUUACCAAUUUAAGCCUAGCACCUCUAAUUCAUCUGACGUUCAUGUAAUGUAUUACUUACAUUAGAUGUAGGUGCCAAAACUGACCUGUAAACCUAAAAUGAAAUUGGGACUACAAAAUUAAUUUCAUUUAGAUUCUGAAAAUUAGACUAUAAAUUGAAUUCUUGUGGGAACUCUGUAAAUCUUCUUUGACAUUGAUUUAAUGUAAUUCUUUUCUUAAUAGGGUAACUUUAAAUUGUGUAACCAGCACAUAGUUUUAACCAGCACAUAUUUGUAGCAAGUCUUGCAGUCAGAUGGAAGAUUCUAAGAGGAACAUUCUUUGGUGUUUCUGAAUUCAAGGAUCACACUGUAAAGCUCUAAUGCAGCUGAGUAGACAGGCAGCAUACCCCCUCCCCAGCCCUGAGCAGGUAGGUAAUGACACAAAGCUGUGAUGUCAUUUAUCAGGCAUCUCCAUCCCAUCAAUGAAUUUUAAUUUAUAAAAUGCAUGUGCACAGGAUAACACAAAUUCAGGGUAAAGAUUUAUUUUAUGUUCAAAACUCAAGUCAGAAUCUGAAUUUCAAGGUUAGUACCUGAAUUAGAAUUUCAUGUCAGAAUCAUCAUAGUUAAUCACUAAUCUGGAAAAAAUUUGAAUUAAAGACUUAGUUUUUUAAACUGGAUCCAGGAAUUCAAGAUCUGACAAACUGUGGAACAAAAAUUUGUAUUCUUUUAAUAGAUGGCAAGUAAGUGUGCUUGUCUUACGCAUGAAAUUAAAUUGAGGACUGAAAUUAUUCUGAAUUAUUCAAAUGUUCACGCUCGAGAUGACAGCAUAUUCUGCUUGCUGUGCUGCUUUUUAUCUUAGACAUUUUCUUGUUUUUAAAGAUAACAUGUUCAGGUCUGAUUCUUCAGGUUUAAUUCUGCCUGUGAGUAAAUUCAGAGGGUUGGAUUAACAAAUGCACUGUCUGUGCAUGAGAGCUCGGGCAUUAGAUUCUCUCUGCAGGAGAACAUUUCAGGUACUUGAGAUAAUUUGACCUAUGAAAACAAUAAUUUUGAAUGUUUUACUGCAAAUAACUCAUAAUAGCCUGACAUUCUGUAAAAUGUAUGAUAGUGCUUUUAAACAGGGAAGAAUAUGCUGAAUGCUGGGACAUCUCAAAGCUUGCAUCCAAAAUUACCACUGCAAGGCUGCCUUGCACAACACUUAAUUCAUGUGGGCUUCUAUUAAACAUCCUUCUGUGCCAGUAGAGUUCUUGAAAUGAAUUGAUUCUUCCAGACACAGCAAAAGCUGAUAGCAGGCAGCCCUUGCAUAUUCAUUCUCCUUUCUGCAUGCUCAGUGCUGAUCUUCUGUCUUGUCUGUAUGUCCUUUCCUUCCAAGAAGGCAGGCAUUGCCAUUUCCUUAAUGAAGUCAAGUUCCCUGUUCUUUCUAAGGUUUGAUUCCAAGGAUUGACACGGAACAAGCUUUAAGAUUCUACUGCACUGUAUUUGCAAAGAAAAGUAAAAUGUGACAAAUAGCAAUCCACUUUAAAAUAGAAAAUUGCAUAUAAAACUCCACCGCCACCUAAGACUUGAGAGAGCUUUUGGCAGUUAAAAAUUCACAUUUUUCUCCCAACUCAUAAGAAAGAAUGGUAUGGAAAAUACAUUUUGCACAAAUAGAGUUCCAAAAAUGGAAAAAAAUUGAGAUAAUCUAAAACUUCAUUAACAGAAAUUUAGAACAUCCUGAAUCCUCAUAUUACAGCUUGAUCCAGCCCUGCUCAAUAACGAAAACAGUUUACAAGGGAAGGUAGAUUUGCCUUUCUGGUAAGAUUUAACUUUGUAAUUAAAGGUAAUACUAAUUAAACUUGAGUGUUGCAGAAGCAAAAAUGACAGUCACUGCUUGAGACCUUCCCUGGCAUGACUAGAUGGGACUUUUAGCUACAAGGCAAAGUAUUUACCACCUUACCCUUGCAAUCUACAAUGAAAGUAGCCAUGUAUUAUCUAUAUUCUGUAUUGCAAUCCUAGUAGUGUUAGCUGCUGGGACUAUAAAAACUGUUAAGAAAUGUGAAAAUGUUUAAGCUAUAAAAAGCAUAUUGGCAUGAUUCAGUGGAUGCUCUGAUCAAAACACACUGUGCUUCAAUAAAAAGAGAAUGCAGUUUAA